GAUGAAAGUCCACAACAAUGUUGUUAUGGAGCUGAUGCGGGGUUCGUGGAAAUGGUAAAGUUUGGGAAAUGGCAAUAGGGGAAGCAGAGAGGGCACUUUGUUCUAUUAGAACAACUAUUUCUGGAGAUCUGAAUGUAAAUGAAGAGAUAUGCAGGAACUCAUUGUUGAGAAUGUGGUAAGGUGCAUAUAAGGUAGUUCUGAGGCUUCGAUAUUCUACAAUUCUACCGGCUACUUUGAUGAGUUUGUUUGGGGAGGCGCGUGGACGUACUUUGAUGAGUUUGUACAUAAUUACACAAAUUGUAUAACUACUGCUCUUUUUCUACAGCCAUACAAUUUGCUUGAAGUAGAUUGUGCUGCUUCAUGGAAAUUGUUCUCUCUGAGCAUGACAUUCAAUGCUUAUGAAGUUACACUUGCACAUACAUUUGUUUUGGAUUCAACUCACUGUGAAAUUAUUUUCUCUUUGGGCAUAAUGGUAUAUCAGGAUUUCAAAGUCCCCUUCACCAUCACCCUGGAAGGCUCAAUCAAGAUCACAAUCAAGAUCGAGGUUUGUGCCAAUAA